rnacentral:rRNA from 1 species
UAUUGCACAAUGGGCGAAAGCCUGAUGCAGCAACGCAGCGUGAGUGAUGAAGGCCUUCGGGUUGUAAAGCUCUGUCUUCUGGGACGAUAAUGACGGUACCAGAGGAGGAGGCCACGGCUAACUACGUGCCAGCAGCCGCGGUAAUACGUAGGUGGCAAGCGUUGUCCGGCUUUACUGGGCGUAAAGGAUGCGUAGGCGGAUACUUAAGUCAGAUGUGAAAAUCCCGGGCUUAACUUGGGAACUGCAUUUGAAACUGGGUAUCUAGAGUGCGGGAGAGGAAAGUGGAAUUCCUAGUGUAGCGGUGAAAUGCGUAGAGAUUAGGAAGAACACCAGUGGCGAAGGCGACUUUCUGGACCGUAACUGACGCUGAGGCAUGAAAGCGUGGGGAGCAAACA